rnacentral:ncRNA from 1 species
CAAAAGUUUUCUCAGUGUAUCUCCCAUUGACAUUGAGUUCUCCUACAACAGCAGUACCUCGACUCAGUAAAAGUCGGGGUUUUU